AUGCGUUGUUGGGUAGGGGAGCGUUCUGUAAGCCUGCGAAGGUGUGCUGUGAGGCAUGCUGGAGGUAUCAGAAGUGCGAAUGCUGACAUAAGUAACGAUAAAGCGGGUGAAAAGCCCGCUCGCCGGAAGACCAAGGGUUCCUGUCCAACGUUAAUCGGGGCAGGGUGAGUCGACCCCUAAGGCGAGGCCGAAAGGCGUAGUCGAUGGGAAACAGGUUAAUAUUCCUGUACUUGGUGUUACUGCGAAGGGGGGACGGAGAAGGCUAUGUUGGCCGGGCGACGGUUGUCCCGGUUUAAGCGUGUAGGCUGGUUUUCCAGGCAAAUCCGGAAAAUCAAGGCUGAGGCGUGAUGACGAGGCACUACGGUGCUGAAGCAACAAAUGCCCUGCUUCCAGGAAAAGCCUCUAAGCAUCAGGUAACAUCAAAUCGUACCCCAAACCGACACAGGUGGUCAGGUAGAGAAUACCAAGGCGCUUGAGAGAACUCGGGUGAAGGAACUAGGCAAAAUGGUGCCGUAACUUCGGGAGAAGGCACGCUGAUAUGUAGGUGAAGCGACUUGCUCGUGGAGCUGAAAUCAGUCGAAGAUACCAGCUGGCUGCAACUGUUUAUUAAAAACACAGCACUGUGCAAACACGAAAGUGGACGUAUACGGUGUGACGCCUGCCCGGUGC
rnacentral:rRNA from 1 species